rnacentral:tRNA from 2 species
UCGGGUAUAGCGUAGUUGGUUAACGCGUCAGUUUGUGGCACUGAAGACCAAGGGUUCGAAUCCCUUUACCCGACCCA